AUAUAACUUCCUUUUGCAACGAAAUUUACUGUGUGUAAGGCUUACACAGCAAAUCAUAGCCAGCGUGCAGAGGUUCGGAGAAAUAAAUGUCUGUUCUGAUCCAUUCGAUUUUACCAUUCAGAGACGGAAGGAAAGACAAGCCCAGAUAAUGGUAGCCCUGCCAACCAGAAAUAUCGACAACAUGAUUCUGACAUUACAGACACGUUUCGAUAUAAAAUUGCCAUUGGUCCGUGGUUGUUCUAUACUACCUGAUGGUAGGAUGGUAAUCUCAUGUAAUGAAAAAAAUCAAAUAAGAAUACUUAAGUCAGACAAAUCUUUAGAUUUCGAAAUAAAGGCAAUUGGUCCAACAUUUGAUGUGGUAUCUAUCGGCGGUGAUUCAAUUGCUGUUACCUCUGAUUUUUCAAAUACGAUUAAUAUAUUCGACCUAAAGAAGCAAAAACUGACAAAAUCAAUUAAAGUAAAUUCAUACAAUGGUGGAUUAGCAUACAAAGACGGACAUUUGAUUUAUUGCGCAUGGGAAAACGGAUUACAGAUGAUAAGUCUUAGUGAUGAAUCUAUUUCCAAUAUUACCAAUAUCAAACUUUCACACAUAUCGUACGUUACAACAUUGUGACAGACUGUACUACACACACUAUGACAAUAACAGUGUAACCUGUUGUGAUAGUCAUGGUAACAUACUUUGGACGUUCUGUGAUACCAGUGUUCUGAUAGGUCCACUCGGUAUCACCGUAGACAAAGGUGGUAACUUGUUUGUCGUGGGCUGUAUUUCUAAUAGUUUGGUCGUCAUCUCUGCUAACGGACAGUACUGUAGACAACUUUUAUCAAGCGGAGAUGGACCAAGCUCACCGACAGUUCUACACUAUGAUCAAUUUAACGAUAAAUUAUUAUAUGCCAACAUGUUCGGAAAAGCGUUCUUGUUGGAAGUUAAAAUUUAAGUAGAGAUGUAUGUAUAAUAUUUCUGUUCAAAUUCCCAAAGAAAACAUUUCGUUUAUCAAUAAAUUACAGAUUAUAUUUCAAAUAAAAUUAUUGGUAUGAUU